AGCAGCCGCGGUAAUUCCAGCUCCAAUAGCGUAUAUUAAAGUUGUUGCAGUUAAAAAGCUCGUAGUUGAAUUUCGGGAUCAAUUAGUCGGUCGUGCCUCUGGUACGUACUGGUUUUAUUGGUUCCUCCCUUCUGACGAAACAUGAUGUCAUUAAUUUGGUGCCGUGGAGAAUCAGGACUGUUACCUUGAAAAAUUAGAGUGUUUAUAGCAGGCUAACGCUUGAAUACAUUAGCAUGGAAUAAUGAAAUAGGACGUUCGACCCUAUUUUGUUGGUUUCUAGGAUCGACGUAAUGAUUAAUAGGGAUAGUUGGGGGCAUUAGUAUUCAAUUGUCAGAGGUGAAAUUCUUGGAUUUAUUGAAGACUAACUACUGCGAAAGCAUUUGCCAAGGAUGUUUUCAUUAAUCAAGAACGAAAGUUAGGGGAUCGAAGACGAUCAGAUACCGUCGUAGUCUUAACCAUAAACUAUGCCGACUAG
rnacentral:rRNA from 1 species